GACGAACGCUGGCGGCGGGCUUAACACAUGCAAGUCGAACGGAAAGGCCCUGCUUUUGUGGGGUGCUCGAGUGGCGAACGGGUGAGUAACACGGGAGUAACCUGCCCUUGGCUUUGGGAUAACUUCAGGAAACUGGUGCUAAUACCGGAUAGGAGCUCCUGCUGCAUGGUGGGGGUUGGAAAGUUUCGGCGGUUGGGGAUGGACUCGCGGCUUAUCAGCUUGUUGGUGGGGUAGGGGCUUACCAAGGCUUUGACGGGUAGCCGGCCUGAGAGGGUGACCGGCCACAUUGGGGCUGAGGUACGGCCCAGACUCCUACGGGGGGCAGCAGGGGGGAAUAUUGCACAAUGGGCGGAAGUCUGAGGCAGCAACGCCGCGUGCGGGAUGACGGCCUUGGGGUUGGAAACCGCUUUCGCCUGUGACGAUGCGGGAGUGACGGUAAUGGGUAAAUAAGCACCGGCUAACUACGUG
rnacentral:rRNA from 1 species